UAUGUCUAAGUUAUAUAUAUGCUUGAUCAUAUUGCAUUAUAGGAUUAGUAGAUAGUUGUAAAUUCUAAUUCCUUGCAUGCUUCUUAGUAGUGUAACUAUGAGUUGGACACAUGGACUAGGGUAGCAUGAGGAUUGGGUCUUGUGACAUGGAAAUCCUAUAAUGGCAUAAAGAGCCGAACUUGGACAUAUGAUAGCUUAGUAGAGUGGCAUUGAACUAGUGUAGUAGAAACACUAAACAAGAACGAGUGGCAUGUCAACUAGCUAGAAAACUUACUACAAUGAUCGAACGAGUGGCAUCGAGUCUAGUGUAGUAAACAUGAUAUGGUUCUAGGGAUAGUAGAGAUCCCGGCAUCUAGGAUGCAUUGUAUAUUGUGCAGCAGAGGCACGUUGACCCUUGCAGAUAGGGUAUCCUCUUGUGAGGAUUGGAUCAUACUCACUAGUCUGUUUUCGCUGUCGGUGGUCGCUCUACCGUGGCACGAGUCUCCGG
rnacentral:lncRNA from 1 species